UACGUAGGCAGCGAGCGUUGCUCGGAAUCACUGGGCGUAAAGCGCACGUAGGCGGCUUCUUAAGUCAGGGGUGAAAGCCUGGAGCUCAACUCCAGAACUGCCUUUGAUACUGAGGAGCUUGAGUCCGGGAGAGGUGAGUGGAACUGCGAGUGUAGAGGUGAAAUUCGUAGAUAUUCGCAAGAACACCAGUGGCGAAGGCGGCUCACUGGCCCGGUACUGACGCUGAGGUGCGAAAGCGUGGGGAGCAAACAGG
rnacentral:rRNA from 1 species